ensembl:lncRNA LINC00609 long intergenic non-protein coding RNA 609
AGCACAAAGAACAAAACUAUUUAAAGACCACACACAUACCCUCUCAAACAAAUCACCUCCCUUUGGGAAAGCAACAUGUUCACUGUGAUAAUUCAGCAUCAGGACCUGAGGUGGUGGGAACAGCUUUGGCUGGUUUGCUGCUCUCCAAGGAGCUCCUGUGCCGGCCGCAUUGGACAAGCAUCUCUGCCCUGCGGCGCAGAGUCUCCAGGACCAGCAGAUGGCGGACUUGCACAGUCCACACAUUUUCCAGGUUCUCAAGUGUUCGCUUCCUGGAUGUUCUGACUAAUUUAAACUAUGGUUAAUUGAAGACUGAAAUAUUCGGGAAACUAUGACAGGAACAAUUUGCUACGGACAGUUUCCACCUGUACUCUCAAGACUUAGAAGCCAUAUGGAUAGAAUGAAAUAGGAUCCCAUCAUUCUCGGCCCAUCUCGCCCAUCUCAAGUCAUUUUUGCCCUCUCCCCACGUGCAGUCAGAAGACUGGAAGUGGAGGUGUGAGCAGUAGAUAGAGCAGUUUAUAAGACAAUGUUAAGACCAUGAUGAAAAGACAUUAGAGGAAGCAGGAAAAAAGAAUAUGCGACACUU